UAUGGAGGGAUCACAUCUCUAUAUAUAUAACUCUUAGUGUUUUGAUUAUGUUUCAUUCACAAAACAAAUAAUCAAAAAAAUGGCUUUAUCAUACAAAUCUUUCUUUUUACUAUUCUUGUGUUUGGUUGUUCUCUUGAUCCCAAAAUUUGCGGGGGCGGACGAUACACCACAAACAGAUUAUGUGAUAGGUUCUUGCAAGACAACUCAAGAGUGCAUCCAAAAAUGCAUUAAGGUAAACUUGCAUCACGGAAGAUGUUAUCGGGUGGCUGAUGAUCCUGAAAAAACAUGUGCUUGCUAUUGAAUAUAAUGUUAUUAAGAUAUUGAAUUAUGGAUAUGUUGUCUUUAAAAGUAUAACAAUAAUAAGAAUAAUAUUAGGGGUGGCGUUAUAUAUCAACCUCUACUUACCCCA